AAUAGUGGGUAGCCUAAUUCAAAUUCGUCAUUUUUUGGAUUUGAAGCGGAGGAACCAAUGUUUGGGGCUAAUCUUUAUGAGAGACACCUUCCAGUCUUAGCCCGUCAGCUAACUCCGUCGGCAGUGGAAGGAACC
rnacentral:sRNA from 2 species